rnacentral:rRNA from 1 species
GAUGAACGCUAGCGGCAGGCCUAACACAUGCAAGUCGAGGGGUAGCAGGAUUAAGCUUGCUUAAUUGCUGACGACCGGCGCACGGGUGCGUAACGCGUAUGCAACCUACCUUAUACUGGGGUAUAGCCCGGAGAAAUUCGGAUUAAUCCCCCAUAGUACUAAUGAAUCGCAUGGUUUAUUAGUUAAAGCAUUGCGGUAUAAGAUGGGCAUGCGUCCUAUUAGCUAGAUGGUGAGGUAACGGCUCACCAUGGCUACGAUAGGUAGGGGGCCUGAGAGGGUGGUCCCCCACACUGGUACUGCGACACGGACCAGACUCCUACGGGAGGCAGCAGUGAGGAAUAUUGGUCAAUGGGCGCAAGCCUGAACCAGCCAUGCCGCGUGCAGGAAGAAUGCCCUAUGGGUUGUAAACUGCUUUUAUUUGGGAAUAAACCUCUUUACGUGUAGAGGGCUGAAGGUACCAAAUGAAUAAGCACCGGCUAACUCCGUGCCAGCAGCCGCCGUAA